GUCCCCUGAAGUUUUCAAAAGAGCACAAGAAUUAAAUGAAUUAAUAAUGCAGGGAAAUCUGAGCUGGAGAGAAAAUGCAACCAGUACGUGGAACUCAGGAAGAUGAAUCACUGGGUCUGACACAGCGGAGUGAGCUGGGAGGUCAUCCCUCUGAUUAUGAGGUUCAACAUUCAUUUAGUUUGAGUCUGAUGACUGAUCAUCAUAGUGACCCACAGCCAAGAGUUCUCCAUGCCAAGCCUUCUCCAACAGCAAACCAAAACACAGGUCCUAGGUGAUGUUAGAGUGCUCUCAGUUCAGUUGGAUUCCAAUAUCUCCACACAACUGCUAUUAAAGUGAAGAAAUUCACAGGCAAUUUGUGCAGAUAUCUCCUACAUCAUAACAAUGUUUUACUACAAUGCAGUGAACGAUAAAAUCGCUUAAUAAUGGCCAAAGGUCUUAGCUCUCUAGGGGAUGGGCAAGUAAAAAGGAACAACACUACAAUAUUCCUCACAGAAGCUAUUAAGAUUUAUUUCUACAUCUACAUCUCUAGUAGUAUGAUUCUAGUUACAGAAAUAUACUAAAAUACAUGGUAUGACUAGACUUUCAGCAUUUUUAAACAUCACCUUCUAGAGAAGAUGACCAAAUUGCAGUCCGCCCCAACUCCGCCCCAACCAGUCUGCCACAUGGAAGCAACAUGGAGAACUGAAACACCGAGCCGACUGAGCAACUCCAGCAGCUUGUGCCAAAGAAAAAUUUUGGCUUUAGUGAAGAUGACACCGAACAAGAAGAGGUGAAAUGUAAACAGCGCAGAAAAACUGUGUCAGCUACCAAAGAUAAUACCACCAAUCGGAUUCAACAGUAGCAGAAUCAGGACACAGACUCAAUCCGUUUGGUGUUUUUUAGUUCAUUUGAAACCCUGCUUAGGCCACAGCCCCCGAGUACUAGGAACGAGUACUGCUGCUCUUCAAAUUAUGGUAUGUGAGUGACUUUGGGAGCACAACAAAUCUAAGACUUCCAGCUCCAUGGCAAUAGAAGGACCUUCUCCUGCUCUGUCUACCAAGCAGUGGUGGGCAGGGUUCCACUAACUGCUAAUUAGUGUUAGCGGAUUAGCAUUUCCACUACCUUUGAAAAUCGAUAGCGGACCAAUUAGCUUCCGCAAAAUUUAGUUCCACUAACUGUAAAUCUGAUAACAUGUUUUCACAGGUAACGUAAAUAAAUUUUUACAGUCAGAAACAUUUGUAAAUUCUAAAAUCAUACAUAUUUGUUCCUGUCUGUUGUGAACAUUUCUACAGUAGACUAUCUGGCAUGCUGUUGCCUGACUACGGUACCCUAGUUUAAAUGGAUUUCAUCUUUGUUCACUUUAGCUCAGACUAACUUAAAUCUGACAAGUUAUCCGGCUAAGCAAGAAGCUUUUGUGAUACAGCCCCCUGGUUGUAUUUGCGGGUUCUGAUUGACAGCACUUUAGAUUAAUAAAGAGACAGAAUAUCGUACACAGAAAACUGCAACGCUAAUUUAUUCCGGAGACUCAACAGAAUCCAACAAUAUCCAACUGGGUAAGUCCUAAGUAUCCUCUGGCAAUCACUCUAGUCCGACAGAUGGGUUUAGAGUGUUAAAUGGGUUAAAUUUUAGCUCUCUAGGUAAGGUUAUUAGCUUUUUUUUAGUAAGCUUGGUUUAGCGUUAUUUAAUUAAAUUUUGGAGUAUGCCGAUUACCCAUUAUCGAAGCUAACUUUUUGGUUAGCUGUGCCCACCACUGCAACCCAGACCAUCCCCGUUUCUGAACCACCCGCCAUGAUUUGGAGAUGCAUAUUAUCUAGCCUGACCUUCCCAAAACCUGCUGUAAAAACCCUUUUCCAGGUAGCCAUCUGUCAUGUUUUGUAAUGGCCAAUGGUCAUAUGGUGUUUGUGUUGCCGUGAUGCUGAGCGUCCUCUGACCGCCAUUCUGGCCGGUAAGACCGUGCAGACGCUCUGCAUUUGCACCCCGGUGUGUAAAGUGGUGCUCAGUGCUAUCUGGUUAGUGUAUGUUUAAAGCUGUGGCCUGGGUCAGUGCUGGAGGACAUGAAAGCUCAUCUGUUAUGUGGAUAAACACAAGAAGCUUCAGACAGAAAAAUAUAAUUCAGUCAUUAUGGGUUAAAAAACGAAAAAAAAAAAAAAAACAAGACCCAAAGUCACACAACUGCGGUCAGAAUUAAUUGGAGCUCAUGCGCCUGCAGAAUGAUAACAGACAGGCAGCUCAGCACCGCUGGCCCUGUGGAUCCCAGCGAGUGACUGAUGGGGAUCAGAUAACGUGGGAGAUGCCGGGAGAGGGAUGCCUGGUCAUGCUUUAAUCUUCCAUCAUCAGCCGGGUCAGACAUGGGAGUCGUGGGCACUGUGCUGGAAAAGCGGUGACAGCAGAUCAAAGUGACCCACGCGGCUCCGAAGCACGGGGAGAAUGCAAGAGCGGCCGCUGAGAAUAGGAUUCUUUUUUUUCUUUUACGUCUUUCAGUACCUUCUUCCUUACAGCUGCAUGUGUAUUUACUCAGUAUUUCUGCUGUGUACUUGUGGAAGCAGCUUCGCCGUUCAGCCUUGUUUCUCACCAUCCUCACGUCUCACGAUGCAUCUUACCUACAUACAUUGGAUGGGAGAUAUGAGCUCACGGUGAAAUUUAAUUUUCCCAGCCUUAUCUCUGAGUUAAUUACCUCGCAGCGAAACACAUUUCAUUAGAUUGUAUUAAUUAAUCUCCAUUUUUUUGGGGGGUGGGACUACCUGCUGUGUGCGGUACUUUUGUGCAAUGCAGAUGAGGGGGGAUGUUAAAGGAGACUGAUGAGAAUUAAACCAUAUAGUUGUCUCCCUUUUGGCACUGAUAACCGAUAUCUUAAGAAGACUAUUAGAGCAAAACCUGAUUAGCAAUAUUCACUGCAGUUGGAGGGCAUUAUGUGUGUUCAUCUCAUAUCCUCCCUGAUGUCCUGACACACUCAGAAGUUGGCCUGUAGCAGCAAGCUGGCGGAUGAGGGCGUCUGCGUGCCAAGCUUCAUCCUCCGACACGUUUCAGCCAUCACAGCAAGACCAAAAUAGAUGCCAAAUAUGAAACGUUUUACAGAGCAUAUUCAUAAUCCAGCCAGAAAAUGAUUAAGUGAAAGGCCAUUUAACUCACUGUAAUGCAAAGGAAAUACUUAGGUUGCCUUAUUGAAUAGCCCUGCUGUCUUAGUGCUCGGCGCUUUGUAGAUGAGUCGCGUGGAGACUGUGGGCCUGGAAGACCCAGUGCAUGCUGGGACGUCAUGCUGAACCGAAGGAGAGGAGCCUCAGUACACAACCACCGGUAACCAGAGGCUUGCAGAAAAGAAGCAGACUGGUUUGGCUUUGAGUGGGCAAAGAAGCUGGGAAUAAUAGAUAUAGAAAUUGGGGCUCCUGACUGAAGUAGGAGCAAAUCUGAUGAAACAAGCCUCAGUGCAUGGACACUGCUGCUCUUCUACCAGACAUUAACCCCAGUGGUCAGAAUCGCCCCAACUGUAGCCCCAACAACUUGACACCUUUACUUAAUGUUUAGAUGCAUGGCAGCAGUAAGUAGGAGUUGGUGUCUGUUGUUAACAAAUAAUCUGUUGCUGGGAUCCUCUAAUUCACUGCUCACAUUGGCUUUGCCCAAACAGUUGGCCAGAUGCAGAAAGCCACAGCUGGAAUAGCCUGGAUGGUGCCUCUGGAUUCUGAUCUGAGUACAGUCUGCAUCCAUCAGUAUGGAGCAGUACAGAUUGACACCCUGCUGAUUUUACUUCAUGGCUUUUCACCCGGGCUUCCCGAGACUAACUGGAUGCCUCCAAGCAUCACAGCUGAGCAGGGAAUACAGAUACUGACCCCUCUGUUCUCGCUGGAUGGGCUGGACGUACCGAAAGCCUGAGGUUCUCGUCCACACCAUCCAUAUCCUCACCUUCCAAAUAAGCUUUUGCUCUUUCACACGGAAGGCCUUUUCUCCACCUUCGAUACAGCAAUGUGGGGGAUUUGACAUUUUCAAACUACCCUCCCCCAGAUAAGCAGACAUACAUCACUAAUGCUGGAGUUUCAGGUAAACCCGACCUUCUUCAGUGGCGUAUAUGAAGGCCUACCUUGGGAGGUCUGGGUGCAUAUAUAUUUCUUGAUCAAGGCAUCUGUAGUUUGUGUGUAAAGGCUGAGUGCAUAUUUCAGAGACUUCAGAUCUGGACUCUUCUCCAGGAAUGUCUUCUUCAGGCCGUUCCCACCCGCGUGGAAGUAUUGCUACAAACAGUGAAACAGACAGCCUCCAUUCAAACUCAGCAUUAUGUGUCUGAAACAAGUGGGUGAGAGACCGUGACACCUACUCUCCGGCCGACAAGCCUCAGCAUGGAUUGACUCCAUGACAGCAGAAGAGAACUGGCAAUGAUGACAACGAACACUCUUAAAACUCGUAUAUUACACACAUAUUGUAAUGACAGAAAUAUUCAAGUGUGAUGCAGAUAAUGGCAGAAAAAAUUGUUUAUUAUGGAGCUGGAUGCUCUGAGUGGAUCAAAUCGAAUCAAACGUUUACUUCUCAAAUGUACAAGCGUACAGUGAUAGUUACAGGUAAUUAAAUGAGUUUUGUCCACGGCA